GUCCGCGCCGUAAACGGUGGGCGCUAGUUGUGGGGACCUUCCACGGUUUCUGCGACGCAGCUAACGCAUUAAGCGCCCCGCCUGGGGGAGUACGAUCGCAAGAUUAAAACUCAAAGGAAUUGACGGGGCCCCGCACAAGCAGCGGAGCAUGCGGCUUAAUUCGACGCAACGCGAAGAACCUUACCAAGGCUUGACAUAUAGGGAAAAGCAGCAGAGAUGUUGUGUCCGCAAGGGCUCUAUACAGGUGGUGCAUGGUUGUCGU
rnacentral:rRNA from 1 species